rnacentral:rRNA from 1 species
UUCCCGGGUCUUGUACGCACCGCCCGUCACACCACGAAAGUCGGCAAUACCCGAAGCCGGUGGCCUAACCCGCAAGGGAGGGAGCCGUCGAAGGUAGGGUCGAUGAUUGGGGUG